rnacentral:tRNA from 3 species
GCCGAAGUUGGGCAGUGGUAGCCCGCGGGGUUGCUAACUCCGUUUCCUUCACCGGAUAUGCAGGUUCGAUUCCUGCCUUCGGCG